rnacentral:rRNA from 1 species
CGCUAGCCCCUGGCUUAACCCCUGCAAGUCGAGGGGCAGCGGGAUUGAAGCUUGCUUCAAUUGCCGGCGACCGGCGCACGGGUGAGUAACACGUAUCCCACCUUCCGUUUACUCCGGGAUAGCCUUUCCAAAGAAAGAUUAAUACCCGAUAGUAUGGUGAGAUUGCAUGAUAACACCAUUAAAGAUUCAUCGGUAAACGAUGGGGAUGCGUUCCAUUAGGUAGUAGGCGGGGUAACGGCCCACCUAGCCUACGAUGGAUAGGGGUUCUGAGAGGAAGGUCCCCCACAUUGGAACUGAGACACGGUCCAAACUCCUACGGGAGGCAGCAGUGAGGAAUAUUGGUCAAUGGGCGAGAGCCUGAACCAGCCAAGUAGCGUGAAGGAUGAAGGUCCUACCGAUUGUAAACUUCUUUUAUAAGGGAAUAAAACGCUCCACGUGUGGAGCCUUGUAUGUACCUUAUGAAUAAGCA